rnacentral:rRNA from 1 species
UACGGAGGGUGCAAGCGUUGUCCGGAAUCACUGGGCGUAAAGGGCGCGUAGGCGGCUCAUGAAGGCUGUGGUGAAAGUCCGGGGCUCAACCUCGGAUCGGCCGUGGCGACUCGUGGGCUGGAGCACUGUAGAGGCGGGUGGAAUUCCGGGUGUAGCGGUGGAAUGCGUAGAGAUCGGGAAGAACACCAGUGGCGAAAGCGCUCUGCUGGACUGCAACUGACACUGAGGGACGAAAGCUAGGGGAGCGAAAGGG